CGCCUGUUUAUCAAAAACAUGUCCUAUAGUUUAUUUUUUAGGUCUGACCUGCUCAGUGAUUUUUAAACAGCCGCAGUACUUUAACUGUGCUAAGGUAGCAUAAUAAUUAGUCUUUUAAUUGGGGUCUGGAAUGAAUGGUUUGACGAGGGGAGUACUUUAUUAAUAAUAUUUAUUUGAAUUUAUUUUUCUAGUUAGAAUUCUGGAAUAUUAAAGAGGGACGAUAAGACCCUAUAGAUCUUUACAAUUUUCUUUUUAUUUAUUUUUUUUGUUGUUUUUUUAUAUUGAGGGGGGGUUUUGUUUUGUUGGGGUGACAUUUAAAAUUUUAAACUUUAGUUUUUUUUUACAUUUUUCAAUGUAAUUAUUGAUCUUUAUAUUUUGAUUAGGAGAAUAAGAUACCUUAGGGAUAACAGCGUUAUAUACUUGGAGAGUUCAAAUCUAUAAGUGUGUUUGCGACCUCGAUGUUGGAUUAAAGUUAAUUUAUGGGGUAGGUUUUAUAUAAUUGGGUCUGUUCGACCUUUAAAACU
rnacentral:rRNA from 1 species